GGGUGAGUAAUGCAUCGGAAUGUACCGUGUAAUGGGGGAUAGCUCGGCGAAAGCCGGAUUAAUACCGCAUACGCCCUGAGGGGGAAAGCGGGGGAUCGAAAGACCUCGCGUUAUACGAGCAGCCGAUGUCUGAUUAGCUAGUUGGUGAGGUAAGAGCUCACCAAGGCGACGAUCAGUAGCGGGUCUGAGAGGAUGAUCCGCCACACUGGGACUGAGACACGGCCCAGACUCCUACGGGAGGCAGCAGUGGGGAAUUUUGGACAAUGGGCGCAAGCCUGAUCCAGCCAUGCCGCGUGUCUGAAGAAGGCCUUCGGGUUGUAAAGGACUUUUGUUCGGGAGGAAAUCCCGCUGGUUAAUACCUGGCGGGGAUGACAGUACCGGAAGAAUAAGCACCGGCUAACUACGUGCCAGCAGCCGCGGUAAUACGUAGGGUGCAAGCGUUAAUCGGAAUUACUGGGCGUAAAGCGUGCGCAGGCGGUUGUGCAAGUCUGAUGUGAAAGCCCCGGGCUCAACCUGGGAACGGCAUUGGAGACUGCACGACUAGAGUGCGUCAAAGGGGGGUAGAAUUCCGCGUGUAGCAGUGAAAUGCGUAGAGAUGCGGAGGAAUACCGAUGGCGAA
rnacentral:rRNA from 1 species